UACGUAGGGGGCUAGCGUUGUCCGGAUUUAUUGGGCGUAAAGAGCGUGUAGGCGGCCAGGUAGGUCUGCUGUGAAAACUCGAGGCUUAACCUCGAGAUGUCGGCGGAAACCAUCUGGCUAGAGUCCGGAAGAGGAGAGUGGAAUUCCUGGUGUAGCGGUGAAAUGCGCAGAUAUCAGGAAGAACACCCGUGGCGAAGGCGGCUCUCUGGGACGGUACUGACGCUGAGACGCGAAAGCGUGGGUAGCAAACAGG
rnacentral:rRNA from 1 species